rnacentral:rRNA from 1 species
GACGAACGCUGGCGGCGUGCUUAACACAUGCAAGUCGAACGGAAAGGCCCUGCUUUUGUGGGGUGCUCGAGUGGCGAACGGGUGAGUAAUACGUGAGUAACCUGCCCUUGACUUUGGGAUAACUUCGGGAAACUGGGGCUAAUACCGGAUAGGAGCUCCUGCUGCAUGGUGGGGGUUGGAAAGUUUCGGCGGUUGGGGAUGGACUCGCGGCUUAUCAGCUUGUUGGUGGGGUAGUGGCUUACCAAGGCUUUGACGGGUAGCCGGCCUGAGAGGGUGACCGGCCACAUUGGGACUGAGAUACGGCCCAGACUCCUACGGGAGGCAGCAGUGGGGAAUAUUGCACAAUGGGCGGAAGCCUGAUGCAGCAACGCCGCGUGCGGGAUGACGGCCUUCGGGUUGUAAACCGCUUUCGCCUGUGACGAAGCGUGAGUGACGGUAAUGGGUAAAGAAGCACCGGCUAACUACGUG